rnacentral:rRNA from 1 species
UGAGGAAUAUUGGUCAAUGGGCGCGAGCCUGAACCAGCCAAGUAGCGUGAAGGAUGAAGGUCCUAUGGAUUGUAAACUUCUUUUAUAGCAGAAUAAAGUGACCCACGUGUGGGUUUUUGUAUGUAUGCUAUGAAUAAGGAUCGGCUAACUCCGUGCCAGCAGCCGCGGUAAUACGGAGGAUCCGAGCGUUAUCCGGAUUUAUUGGGUUUAAAGGGUGCGUAGGCGGAAAGAUAAGUCAGCCUGUGAAAGUUUGCGGCUCAACCGUAAAAUUGCAGUUGAUACUGUUUUUCUUGAGUGUACAUAAGGUAGGCGGAAUUCGUGGUGUAGCGGGGAAAUGCGUAGAUAUCUGGAAGAACACCAGUGGCGAAGGCGGUCAACUGGCCCAUAACUGACGCUCAUGCACGAAAGCGUGGGGAGCAAACA